ACCAGUAAACAGUCCAGGGAAGAAAAAAUGGUGAGAGUGAACAGAAGGCGUGGAAGGGGGAUGGAGAUGGCCACCAUGAGUCCAUGAGAGUGGCUGGCCACCCGUUUCUUCUCCAACCAUGUCGCUGUUGUUGGCAGGACAGCGGAUCUGGACUCUGCGUAGCUGCUGGGCGGGCUACCGGGCGACGCCGAGGCCAACAACGUGAGCUCCUUGUCGAGGUGGGCGGAGCCACGGAGGGCGGUGCUGGAGCGGCUGCGCGCGUCCUUGUCCGCUGCAGAGCGGCCAGAGAGCUAGUAGGAGCAUGAUCGAGCGUGGAUUGGGACAUCGGUGGUAGGCGAAAGCUGAUGGAUCAUCCACUGCCUUUGUCUCUUGAUCAAUAUGCUCCAAUGCGCAGUUUGGAGACAAACACCUAUUCCACUAUCUGUCAUGUCCACAUUUGCGGAAGCAAUUUCCUUUGAGUGAAAUGUACCCUCUGAACAAUAAAUAUGCUUCUUAGGUGAACCCGUUCAUCUCCCAUGGUAAAGCGAUAAGCGCAACCAUUAAUCUGCAGGACCGUCUCUGGUCCACCUAGCUUCAUGGCUCGCAGUGCUUCUUUGUGAUAGGGGAAGGAUACUACAAUCUUUUCGUCAGAGAACUUGUGAACACUAAUACCUCUAGAUGUAGCUACUUUGUCUGUAGCUGAGUUAAUCACGGAGUCAGCCAGAACUGUGUGUAUUCUAGAGACAACUCUAUUAUGUAAGCA